CCAAUAGCGUAUAUUAAAGUUGUUGCAGUUAAAAAGCUCGUAGUUGAAUUUCGGGAUCAAUAUGUCGGUCGUGCCUUCGGUACGUACUGGCGUCAUUGAUUUCUCCCUUCUGACGAACCACGAUGUCAUUAAUUUGGUGUCAUGGGGAGUCAGGACUGUUACUUUGAAAAAAUUAGAGUGUUUAAAGCAGGCUCACGCUUGAAUACAUUAGAAUGGAAUAAUGAAAUAGGACGUUUGACCCUAUUUUGUUGGUUUCUAGGAUCAACGUAAUGAUUAAUAGGGAUAGUUGGGUGCCUUAGUAUUCAAUUGUCAGAGGUGAAUUUCUUGGAUUUAUUGAAGACUAACUACUGCGAAAGCAUUUGCCAAGGAUGUUUUCAUUAAUCAAGAACGAAAGUUAGGGGAUCGAAGACGAUCAGAUACCGUCGUAGUCUUAACCAUAAACUAUGCCGACUAGGGAUCGUAUGAUGUUAAUUUUUUAAUGACUCAUUCGGCGCCUUACG
rnacentral:rRNA from 1 species